CAGAUAUCUGGAAAGUAGUGAGAUGGAGGCGAGCAGGUGAGAGCUGAGCUAAUACCGCAUAAUCUUGCAGUUUAACAGCUCUGAGCAGAGCUGAUGCCUCAGCAUCAAGAGCCAGGAGGAGCAUGGGGAGCUACAGCCAUGUGCUGCAUGGCCACCCCAGGCCACGUUGCCAUCAAUCCCUGCAGCCUGGCCACAGCAGUCCUUUGGAUGCCAGGGUCCCACCACUACAUCCAUAAAUCCAAAAAUAAGUUCUGGCUAGUGCGUCCGUGAGGACAAAUCCAGUGCUGCCACAUAGUGGUGAAGAGGCAGUUCAGAAGGCAACAUCUGCAGAAUCCCCUGGAGAACCUGCGGUCAGAGCCUGAGUCAGCCCCAGCCUCAUGCCAGGGUCCCAGGGGCAGCUGGCUGGCACAGGCCCAUCCCAGGCUCCUUGGGGACUAACCCCACUCAUUCCUGUGCAGUGUUCCCAAAGGCAUCACCUCCUUUCCACUGCUGAUGCUGGGGAUGUGUCCCUCAUUAUAUCGGUAUCACUGUGGGAAACACAUCAUUAUUGUUAAUGAAGGUUUCUUCAGUUUGAUUUCAGCCCCAAAUUUCUGUUUUCAUCCUCACAUAUCAUCCAGACCUCCUACGGUUUCAUAGACCCAACACCAAAGAGUUUCAUUUCUCUCUUCUACAUAUCUCUCUGCUGUGACACUGCUGCUGUUUUGGUGGAUUGCUUCUUGUUCCUCCUUUGGCCACAACACCAGAAGCAACACUAUGCUAACACAUGUGCAUCCUGCGGUGUCAGCCCACAGCUUUGAGAUAUGAAGGACAGGUUGCUAAAUGUUGCUGCUCACAUAUGCAGAAAAGUACCCAAGGGGACUCCCAGGAAACCCAUGCACCCACAGCUGUGCAGGCAGUGUGUACUCAUGGUGCUUAGCAGCCCAUGUCCCCGCAGCUGCCUCUCAUCAAGGCUCCUUGAAAGACUCAGAACCCUCUAGCAGGAACCCUGACCAUAUCUACGUUAGAAACAUGAGCUCCUGACCGGCUGGAACAGACUCCUUUUGGAAUACCGGACAGGAAUAAGUGACAGAGGGGCGAUGCAUCUUCACAUUUUGAAAGGAUUGCUCCCUUCUCGGCAGGGCUGUCACUGCCGAGCGUGGCCUCGUGGUGGGAGCUGAGAGGUGAGGGUUUGGAUGGCAGCGUGACGCAGCUGUAUCUGCAGAGCCACGAUGGCACCACUCAAUGCCAUUCAAAAGACCAAGGUGCUCUUCCAGCCAACGCUGUGUGCUCUUCUUCACUUGGAGCACGUGGGCAGUCUGCACAAAGCCCAAACCGUGCCCAAGUCCCACACCUGGAGAGUGCCCCAGGGAAAUGCUCAUGUUUUGGUGGCAUCACCACCCCUCAGAAAGAAAUGGUGUUUGGGAACAAACCUGCAUUUGGACGGUUUUAUAAAAGGAGUGCUGAAAAAAGAAAUGGAAAGUUUUCCUGCAAAGAGCAUAUGCUGCAGCUUCCUGAAACAAGAACCCAGCUCUGGUAAGGAUUCUGGCAGUUUGGAGCCUUUCAAUAUUAAAGGACUCUCUAGCAGAUUAGAAUGGCAUAAUAAAAGCUAAUAAAAAUGAAACUGGACAAAUUCGGGGAAGAAAUUAAGGCACACGUUUUUAACAACAAUAAAAUUAAUCACUGAACAGUAGAAUUAAGUCACUGGAAUGGGCUCCAAAGGGAUGUGGCAAAUGCACCUGAAGCUGCAGCCCCUGAGCACGUGGCUUCACCCCACUUGGCCUCCUCAGGUACCAUCGCUGCCCCUUUCCCUGCUGAGAGAUGGGAAAAACAGAGGAAGGAAACAAAUUGCUCUCCUGCACCAAGGUUCUCUCUGCCUCUCUGCUUUUGUCUCUCAGAUGCAACAUAUAAAAUGAUGAAGUACAUCCCAGCUCGCCUGCAUGCUGGCUGUGCUGUGCCCCACUGGUAAUGCAAGCAGCUACUUGAAUUUACAGCUGCGUCACACGGCCAGAGUGGAAUGCAGCAGCCAGGGCAAGCACUGCAUACAGCUGGAACUACUGACACACAUCUUAACCUGGGGAAGGAUUUUAUUGGGCACGAAGUGGCAUCUUUUACACUAGGAUGUAUUUUUACACAUAAUUUAGGCCAGCAUAAACUCUCACUGUUG